GCGGCGGUGGCGCAAUGGUAGCGCACCAGCUUCCCAAGCUGGGGGUUGCGAGUUCAAUCCUCGUCCGCCGCC
rnacentral:tRNA from 1 species